ACGCUGGCGGCAGGCCUAACACAUGCAAGUCGAGCGGUAGAGAGAAGCUUGCUUCUCUUGAGAGCGGCGGACGGGUGAGUAAUGCCUAGGAAUCUGCCUGGUAGUGGGGGAUAACGUUCGGAAACGGACGCUAAUACCGCAUACGUCCUACGGGAGAAAGCAGGGGACCUUCGGGCCUUGCGCUAUCAGAUGAGCCUAGGUCGGAUUAGCUAGUUGGUGGGGUAAUGGCUCACCAAGGCGACGAUCCGUAACUGGUCUGAGAGGAUGAUCAGUCACACUGGAACUGAGACACGGUCCAGACUCCUACGGGAGGCAGCAGUGGGGAAUAUUGGACAAUGGGCGAAAGCCUGAUCCAGCCAUGCCGCGUGUGUGAAGAAGGUCUUCGGAUUGUAAAGCACUUUAAGUUGGGAGGAAGGGCAUUAACCUAAUACGUUAGUGUUUUGACGUUACCGACAGAAUAAGCACCGGCUAACUCUGUGCCAGCAGCCGCGGUAAUACAGAGGGUGCAAGCGUUAAUCGGAAUUACUGGGCGUAAAGCGCGCGUAGGUGGUUUGUUAAGUUGGAUGUGAAAUCCCCGGGCUCAACCUGGGAACUGCAUUCAAAACUGACUGACUAGAGUAUGGUAGAGGGUGGUGGAAUUUCCUGUGUAGCGGUGAAAUGCGUAGAUAUAGGAAGGAACACCAGUGGCGAAGGCGACCACCUGGACUAAUACUGACACUGAGGUGCGAAAGCGUGGGGAGCAAAC
rnacentral:rRNA from 1 species